rnacentral:rRNA from 1 species
CCCUUGUCUCUAUACACCUGUUGCUUUGGCGGGCCCACCGGGGCCACCUGGUCGCCGGGGGACGCACGUCUCCGGGCCCGCGCCCGCCGAAGCGCUCUGUGAACCCUGAUGAAGAUGGGCUGUCUGAGUACUGUGAAAAUUGUCAAAACUUUCAACAAUGGAUCUCUUGGUUCCGGCAUCGAUGAAGAACGCAGCGAAAUGCGAUAAGUAAUGUGAAUUGCAGAAUUCCGUGAAUCAUCGAAUCUUUGAACGCACAUUGCGCCCCCUGGCAUUCCGGGGGGCAUGCCUGUCCGAGCGUCAUUUCUGCCCUCAAGCACGGCUUGUGUGUUGGGCGUGGUCCCCCCGGGGACCUGCCCGAAAGGCAGCGGCGACGUCCGUCUGGUCCUCGAGCGUAUGGGGCUCUGUCACUCGCUCGGGAAGGACCUGCGGGGGUUGGUCACCACCAUGUUGUACCACGG